CUUCAGUGAUGAGACGAUGACGAGUCGGAACAGGUCUCUGUCUGGUUCCGGUGUCUGGUUCAGAUUCACGUUCUGUGAUUCUCCUCCAGUCCAUCAGAACAGCGAGGCCUUUUCGGUUGAAGACAUCGAGGCAUUUGUCUGAGAAGG